ncrna:unclassified sequences DTF1874 RNA
GUCAGUCCCGUUUUGUGCCGUGGUCAUCCACGGUAAGUGGUGCCAUAGGCACCCGCCACGGCAGUUCUCCCGAGAGGGAGAACAAGCGGGACAGGAGGA